UACGUAGGGGGCGAGCGUUGUCCGGAAUCAUUGGGCGUAAAGAGCUCGUAGGCGGCUUGGCAAGUCGGAUGUGAAAUCUCCAGGCUCAACCUGGAGUCGCCACUCGAUACUGCCAUGGCUAGAGUCCGGUAGGGGACCACGGAAUUCCUGGUGUAGCGGUGAAAUGCGCAGAUAUCAGGAGGAACACCAGUGGCGAAGGCGGUGGUCUGGGCCGGUACUGACGCUGAGGAGCGAAAGCGUGGGGAGCGAACAGG
rnacentral:rRNA from 1 species